UGUCUACCCGCGCGACAUCGCCGAGACCAAGGUGACUGGUAGAGAA
rnacentral:misc_RNA from 1 species